AACAAACGCUGGCGGCGUGCCUAACACAUGCAAGUCGUACGAGAAAGGGUCCUUCGGGGCCUGAGUAAAGUGGCGCACGGGUGAGUAACGCGUGGAUAAUCUGCCCCUCAGUUGGGAAUAACUCAUCGAAAGGUGGGCUAAUACCGAAUAAUGCUGUGAGACCUCGGUUGAUCAGCCAAAGAGAGCCUCUGCUUGCAAGCCCUCGCUGAAGGAUGAGUCCGCGUACCAUUAGCUAGUUGGUAGGGUAAUGGCCUACCAAGGCGAAGAUGGUUGGCUGGUCUGGGAGGAUGAUCAGCCACACUGGAACUGAGACACGGGCCAGACUCCUACGGGAGGCAGCAGGGAGGAAUCUUGCGCAAUGGGGGCAACCCUGACGCAGCAACGCCGCGUGAGUGAGGAAGGUCUUCGGAUCGUAAAGCUCUGUCGGAUGGAAAGAACCGCAUAGGGGUAAACAGCCCCUGUGUCUGACGGUACCAUCAAAGGAAGCACCGGCUAACUCCGUGCCAGCCGCCGCCGUAAGAC
rnacentral:rRNA from 1 species